CCCGCGAGGGGCCGGGCGGGCGGGCGGGCGGCGGCGCCCCCUGGAGGCCGCGCGGGCUGGCCCGAGCCUGACCCCCCUUGGCCGCGCGGACCCCUUCCCAGACCCGACCCUGACCCCGCCCCGGGCCUGGGCCGUGGCCCUUGACCCCAGACCUGGAACUCGCCGCGGGACCCGGGACCGAAGAAGACCCCGGACCCACACCUUGACCACAGCUCGGAUCGUGACUCGGACCUCAGAAUCCACAACAGACCGUGGCCCUCACGCCAGACUGGCACUUCAGAACAUGAUCUCGCGGACUUGGACCUCAGACGCUGGACGUAACCGCUGACUUCUGGGUCUUGGUGGAAGUGUCUGACCUGAUAUUAGUCCUGGACGACAUUCCUGAGCCCGGCCUCCAAAUAGGACCCCAGGACUGGACCUCGGACCACUGCUUUAGACCACUGCAUUAGACUCUGUGACCCGAGAUCACAGCCCCGUGGCUCUCUCCACACCCAGACCUUGACACUGACCCCAGAUCCCCCACAGGACCCCAGAUAUAGUUUUAGGACCAUGAUCUCAAACACUGGUCCCAUCCUGGUUACUAACUCCAACCUUGAUUCGAACCCCAGACCCAGACCCAAUAUCAAGAACUCUGAACAUGGGAGUGCCUGGAUGGCUCAGUGGGUUAAGCAUCUUACUCUCGAUUUCGGCUCAGGUCAUGAUCUUACGGUUGUGAGACUGAGUCCCGCAUGGGGGUCUGAGCUGGGUGUGGAGCCUGCUUAAGAUUCUCUCUCUCCCAUUCCCUCUGUUCUCUCUCUCUCUCUCUCUCUCUCUCAAAACAAACAAACAAACAAACAAAACAAAGUAACAACAACAACUCACUCUCAACAUGGACCCAGGACCAGAACAUCCAAUGCAACCAGGGACCCAAUCUAGACCUAGAGCACUUAACAGGUCACCAUGAACUUGGGACUUGACAACUGCAGUCAGGCUCCAGGUCUAUGCUAGCUCCAGUCCCCACCCCUUCUGUUCUAGACCCAACUCUUGACCAAGGAUUUCCACUGAGGAUAAAGGACCCUGCACCAACCUCCACCCUUCCUGGACCAGCUUGUGCUUGGCCUGCACCCCAUCCCAUCUAUGGAAUCUAAUGGAAUCAUCAUGAUUCUACAACAUGGGAUCAAACCUCUCUCAGCCUAGGAGGACCCAGGAGUCUCAGUGGUGCCUGGAUCCCCAUGGCUGCUACCCUGAUGCAGGCCCUGACCAGAGACGCCUCUCCCAAAUCUAGACCUGAUGGAGUUACUAAGGACUUUGGGAUCUGCUGAGAGUGGCGGAUGGGGGUUGGGUGCUCUAGGCAACCCCCCCCCCCCACCUCUACUCAAAGCAGAUCAGGUGAGCAAGUUCCUUAAGUCAAGGAACGGGGAUGACUGGACCCUGCUCCCCUCUCCUGCCUGUACUGCCACCAUUCUCUGCACCUGCCCACCCACCCGUUCUCACCUCUGUGCCAUUGUUCUUUCCCGUGUCCAGAAGCGCUCUGUGGGCCUUCUUCCCUGGCUGACUCCUGCGCACCCUUUUAAGAAAAGACCCACCUCCUCCAGCCUCCCUGACCCCAAACUGUGUACAUCUCCAAUUGUGUUCUUAGCACCUAUUUCCUUGAUUUGAAAACAUCAUCAAUUGCAAAAUGUAUCAAGUUUUUGAAGGGGGUGGGAGGGUGGAGCUUUAUUAAAUGUUUGUAUCAGUUGGAAAAGGCAUCCUGAUGUUGGAUAUGCUGACGGGGAAAAAAGAAAAAAACAACGUACAUACAGUC